rnacentral:rRNA from 1 species
UUUGGACCAGGAUUAGAUACCCUGUUACUUUUUACUAGGCUUCCUUGGAGUAUUAGUGUUUAUGAAAUUUAACGGAUUUGGCGGCAAGAUAGCCCGUUUAGAGGAACCUGCCCUGUGAACGAUGAGCCACGAAUAACUUUACUUUUUUUGGUAAUCAGUUUGUAUACCGCUGUUGUCAGUCGGUCUCGCUAGAGAACUUUCGAUAAUGGAAAGGUCAUUGACUUCAAGUAAAGGUGCAGCUAAUAAGAAAGAGAGAGGUGGGUUACAAUUUUACGAUAAAUAACGGAUGACAAGAUGAAAAAUUGUUUGAAGGUGGAUUUAAUUGUAAAACUUUAGAAAGUUUGAUACGAGCACUAACUUGUGUACAUACCGCCCGUCGCUCUCCUUAGUAAA